UACGUAGGGGGGCAAGCGUUGUCCGGAUUUAUUGGGCGUAAAGAGCGUGUAGGCGGCCAAGCAGGUCCGCUGUGAAAACUCGAGGCUCAACCUCGAGACGUCGGUGGAAACCGUUUGGCUAGAGUCCGGAAGAGGAGAGUGGAAUUCCCGGUGUAGCGGUGAAAUGCGCAGAUAUCGGGAAGAACACCCGUGGCGAAGGCGGCUCUCUGGGACGGUACUGACGCGUGAGACGCGAAAGCGUGGGGAGCAACAGG
rnacentral:rRNA from 1 species